GAUGAACGCUGGCGGCGUGCCUAAUACAUGCAAGUCGAGCGAACAGACGAGGAGCUUGCUCCUCUGACGUUAGCGGCGGACGGGUGAGUAACACGUGGAUAACCUACCUAUAAGACUGGGAUAACUUCGGGAAACCGGAGCUAAUACCGGAUAAUAUAUUGAACCGCAUGGUUCAAUAGUGAAAGACGGUUUUGCUGUCACUUAUAGAUGGAUCCGCGCCGCAUUAGCUAGUUGGUAAGGUAACGGCUUACCAAGGCAACGAUGCGUAGCCGACCUGAGAGGGUGAUCGGCCACACUAGAACUGAGACACGGUCCAGACUCCUACGGGAGGCAGCAGUAGGGAAUCUUCCGCAAAGGGCGAAAGCCUGACGGAGCAACGCCGCGUGAGUGAUGAAGGUCUUCGGAUCGUAAAACUCUGUUAUUAGGGAAGAACAAAUGUGUAAGUAACUAUGCACGUCUUGACGGUACCUAAUCAGAAAGCCACGGCUAACUACGUG
rnacentral:rRNA from 1 species